rnacentral:lncRNA from 1 species
ACCAAUUAUAUUCCAUUAUGUUCAAGGAUUAUCAUUAUGCAUGUGGGGUUUUGUAUUUAUUCUUAUGAGCCUCAGUGUUACAAAUCACAGAGGCAAGGUCUAUAUUAUUGUCACUAAUACUACCACAAUGGCCAUUUAUUGAGUGUUGACCAUGUGCUAGAAACUGUGCCUUUGUAUAUAUUAUAUUGAAUCUUUUCUGUACCAGUGCAAGUUAGGUGUUCUUAUACCCAUUUUAUCUAUGAAAAAACUGAGGCUGAGAGAAGUGAAAUAACUUACCUGCAUUCCCCCAGCUGACUUGUAACAGACUUAGGAUUCAAUGCCAGUUCUUUCUGGGUUAAAACCUCUUAAUUUUUCAUUUUUUCACUAGGAAAAGAAUAUCUGUGCAAGGCAAAUAAUUUGGAAAUGGAUUAACCUGCCCAUUUUUCAUGCAAACAUGAAGAAGUAGAUACGCCUGGUUCCACAGAGAACAGAGUACGAACGGAGAUUGUCCAAUAGGACCUUGACAUGGAAAAACCCUGAGGUUGAUGGACUAAACGUGAACAGAGAUGAAAGUGAUUUAUAUUUGAGUUUCACAGUCAUUCAUUCCCUCAACCCCUGCAGCCAGUCUCAUCAGGUCAGCUUCCAACUCUUCUUUCCUGGGUGCAUUUUCUUUUUGUUUUUUGGGUUUUUUAAAGCAUAUAUCAGUGAAUAUAUAUAUAUUUUUUUUGAUUGUGGUAACAUUGGUUUAUAGCAUUAUAUAAAUUUCAGGUGUACAGCAUUAUAUAUUUUGAUUUCUGUGUAGAUUACAUUAUGUUCACCACCCAAAGACUAAUUACCAUCCAUAACCACACACAUGUGCCUAAUCACCCCUUUCGCCCUCUUCCCUCCCCACUUCUCUGGUAACCACCAAUCCGGUCUCUGUUUCUAUGUGAUUGUCGCUUUUAUCUUCUACUUAUGAGUGAGAUCAUAUGGUAUUUGACUUUCUCCCUCUGACUUAUCUCACUUAGCAUAAUCCCCUCAAGGUCCACCUAUCUUGUCCAAAAUGUCCGAAUUUCAUCAUUUCCUAUCGCUGAGUAGUAU